rnacentral:tRNA from 1 species
CGGUGCGUAGCUCAAUGGUCUGAGCGCUUAGCUAACGCUAAGAGGCAAGCGGGUUCGAGCCCCGUCGCACCAA